rnacentral:snRNA from 1 species
AGCUUUGCGCAGCUGCAGUAUCGUAGCCAUGAGGGUUUAUCCGAGGCACGAUUAUUGCUAAUUAAAAACCACUGAAU